rnacentral:rRNA from 1 species
UACGAAGGAGGCAAGCGUUAUCCGGAAUUAUUGGGCGUAAAGCGUCCGCAGGCGGUUGGACAAGUCUGUCGUUAAAGCGUGAGGCUUAACCUCAUAAAGGCGAUGGAAACUGUUUGACUAGAGUGCAGUAGGGGUAGCGGGAACUCCCGGUGUAGCGGUGAAAUGCGUAGAUAUCGGGAAGAACACCAGAGGCGAAGGCGCGCUACUGGGCUGUAACUGACGCUCAUGGACGAAAGCUAGGGGAGCGAAAGGG